rnacentral:rRNA from 1 species
UACGGAGGGCGCAAGCGUUGUUCGGAAUCACUGGGCGUAAAGCGCGUGCAGGCGGCUUGGUAAGUCGGAUGUGAAAUCCCGGAGCUCAACUCCGGAACUGCACCCGAUACUGCCUCGCUAGAGUCCCGGAGAGGAUGGCGGAAUUUCCGGUGUAGCGGUGAAAUGCGCAGAUAUCAGGAAGAACACCGAUGGCGAAAGCAGCUCUCUGGGACGGUACUGACGCUGAGGCGCGAAAGCGUGGGGAGCGAACAGG